UUGAUAUUGAUUGUGAGUUCA
ensembl:piRNA 21ur-5365 ncRNA